rnacentral:rRNA from 1 species
GGUCAUUACAGAUCAUGAGACUCUGCCCGGGCGUGUGCCGCGUGUCUAGUCGACCCUCCACCCGUGUUGACUUUAUCUGUUGCUUUGGCGGGCCGGGCCCCCGGCUCCAACCGGCUUCCUGCUGGCUCGUGUCCCCCAAAGACCCAACCUAACUCGUGUUGUCGUGUUGUCUGAGGAAGAAAUAUUGAAUUGUUAAAACUUUCAACAACGGAUCUCUUGGCUCUGGCAUCGAUGAAUAACGCAUCGAAAUGCGAUAAGUAAUGUGAAUUGCACAAUUUACUGAAUCAUCUAAUCUUUGAACGCACAUUGCGCCCCUUGGUAUUCCGAGGGGCAUGCCUGUUCGAGCGUCGUCACACCCCCUCAAGCCGCGCCGUGUGUGUGGCUUGGUGUUGGGGCUCGUCCGUCGGGCGGCCCUUAAAGACAGUGGCGGUGCCGUUGUGGUCUCUACGCGUAAUACAAUUCUCGCGACAGAGCGGCUCCGGCGGCUGGCCAAGCAACCCUUUCUUUUUAAAGGUUAAACUCCAAUCAGGUAGG